CCUACGUGAGGCUGCAGUGGGGAAUAUUGCACAAUGGGGGGAACCCUGAUGCAGCGACGCCGCGUGGAUGAAGAAGCGCCUCGGCUCGUAAAGCACUUUCAGCAGGGAGGAAAAUGACGGUGUCUAUAGAAUAAGCCCCGGCUAACUACGUGCCAGCAGCCGCGGUAAUACGUAGGGGGCAAGCGCUAUUCGGAUUUACUGGGGGUAAAGGGAGCGCAGACGGUGAUGCAAGCCAGGAGUGAAAGCCCCGGGCGCAACCCCGGGACUGCUCUUGGAACUGGGUGGCUGGAGUGCAGGAGGGGCAGGCGGAAUUCCUGGUGUAGCGGUGAAAUGCGUAGAUAUCAGGAGGAACACCGGUGGCGAAGGCGGCCUGCUGGACUGCAACUGACGUUGAGGUGCGAAAGCGUGGGGAGCAAACAGGAUUAGAUACCCCUGUAGUC
rnacentral:rRNA from 1 species